rnacentral:rRNA from 1 species
GCAAAAUGAUCGGUAUCAUUUUUCAUGACUAAAUAACAAACAUUUGGCAUGAUUUCAGAAUGAAAAAGAUCAUGCGUGCUGUCGCCAUCCCAUUUGUCGAGUGUGAGUGGGUGGCACUACGAUUCCUUUUAUUAUGAAAAGCCAAAAUGACUAUUAGUAAUGGAUAUCUCGACUCUUACAUCGAUGAAAAACAUAGCAAAAUGUGAUACUUGGUGUGAAUUGUAAAAUCUCAAGAACCAUCGAGUCUUUGAACAUAAGUUUUGCCCAAAGCCAUUUGGCCAAGGCCAUGCCUGCUUAGCUGUCAUGCAUCAUCGCCCCCUCCAAACCCCCACCCAUCAGGCUUUGGGUGAAGGGGGAAAGAUGGCCUUCCAUGAUCUCAUUGAUAGUGGUUGGCGUAAAAGUGAGUCUUCAACAAUGAUAGCAUUGUGACCAUUAGUGGUAAAGCUCCCAGUGUGCCUUGUCUUCGGUAACAAACGCUCAUUGUCCACCAAUGGAGGACUAUAGUGAUACUAACAUUCAAAUCAUUUGUUUGACUUGGGUAUAGGGGUAAAACACUAAUUGAAUUGUCUAGUAGCUGGUUUUUUUCGAAGUUUCCCUCAAGAUAGCUAGAGCCUUUAGUUAGUUUUAUCGGGUCAAGCCAAUGAUUAGAGCCAUUAGGGGCACAACACUCUAGAAUUAUUCUCAAACUUUAAAUAUGUAGGAUGGCACGGUUGCUUCGUUGAGCCACUCUAUAGAAUCAAGAGCUCCGAGUAGGCCAUUUUUGGUAACCAGAACUAGCAAUGUGGGAAGAACUAGAAGCCAAGUUACAGUGCCUAAUUAUGCACUAACCGAGAACCCACAAUGGUGUUGGUUGAUUAUGAUAGUAAGACAAUGGUCAUGGAAGUCAAAAUCCUCUAAGGAGUGUGUAGCAACUCACCUGUCGAUUCAACUAGCCCUGAAAAUGGAUAGCACUUUAGUGUGUGACCUAUACCUAGUCAUCGGGGUAAGGGCCAAGCCCAGAUGAGUAGAAGUGUACGGUAAUCACUGUAAAAUAUAAGGCAUGAGCCUAGGUGGAAUGGUCAUCGAAGAAAAUCUUGGUGGUAGUAGCAAAUAUUCGAAUGAGAACUUUGAAAGCCAAAGAGGGGAAAGGUUCCAUGUGAAUGGUAUUGCACAAAUGUUAAUCGAUCUUAAGAGACAGGGGAAAGCCAUCUGACAACUCGUCUAGUGAGAGCUUCAAAAAGGAAUCAUGUCAAAAUUCUUGACCCAGGAUGCGACAAUUGACAGUAAUGUUAAAGAGUCCAACUAUGUUGGUGGAGACCUCAAGAAAAGUUGUCUUUUCUAUUUAAUGACCUACCCACUCUGGAAAUAGCUCAACUAAAGGUAGGGUCCAAUGGCCAGAAUAAUACAGCAUGUCACAUGGUGUCCAGUGCACCCUUGAAUGGAUUCAUAACCUUUAGAAAAUGAUUCACUUUGAGGGCUGGCCAUGCUGGUCCCAAUGUCAAACCCAUCGAUUGCCAAUGAAUGGCUCGAGCUACUCCUAUGGCAAGAGUGGGUAAUCGUAUGCCAAUCGAGGGAUAGACUGGGAAUGGCUCUUUUAGUGACUUUCUCAAGUGAUGAAUAGUCAACUUAGAACAAUUAUGGAUAAGGGAAUCUGACUAUUUAAUUAAAACAAAGCAUUGUGGUGGUCUCUGAGGAUGCUCAUGCAAUGUGAUUUCUACCCAGUGCUCAAAAUGUCAAAGUGAAGAAAUUCAACCAAAAGUGAGUAAAUAAUGGGAGUGACUAUAACUCUUUUAAGAUAGCCAAGUGCCUUGUCAUCUAAUUACUGACGUGCAUGAAUGGAUUAAUGAGAUUUCCACUAUCCCUAUCUAUCAUCCAACAAAACCACAGCCAAGAGAAUAGCCUUGGCAUAGUCAACAAGGAAAGAAGACCUUGUUGAGCUUCACUCUAGCCCAACUUUGUGAAAUGACUUGAGAGGUAUAGGAUAAGUGAGAGCCCUUGGGCAAAAUUGAAAUAACACUACUUUUAAUGUUAUUUUACAUAUUCUGUAAAUCAAAGGUAGGGCAUGACCCUUUCUUUUAGACUUAAAACCGGCCUUGGUAGGUUGAUCUAGGCAAAAGACAUUGUCAGAUGGCUAGUUUGGCUAGGAUGGCACAUCUGUUAAAAGAUAGCACAGGUGCUCAAAUAUAAGCUUAACGAGAACAAAAAUCUCAUGUGAAAUAAAAAGGUAAAAGCUCAUUUGAUUCUGAUUUCCAAUACGAAUAUGAACUAUGAAAGCAUGGCCUAUUGAUCCUUUAGACCUUUAAAAGUUUAAGUUAGAGGUGUCAAAAAAGUUACCAUAGGGAUAAUUGGCUUAUUGCUGCCAAACGUUUAGAGUGACAUUGCUUUUUUAUCCUUCAAUGUCGGCACUUCCUAUCAUUGUGAAGUAGAAUUCACCAAGUGUUGGAUUGUUCACCCACCAAUGAAGAACAUAAGCUAGGUUUAGACUAUCAUGAGACAGAUAAGUUUUACCCUACUGAUGGUAGCAUUGCAAUUGUAAUUCAACCUAGUAUGAUAGGAACUAUUGAUUUGCACAAUUGGUCAUCACACUUGGUUGAAAAGUCAAUGGUGUAAAGCUACUGUGCAUUGGAUUAUGACUGAACACCUCUAAGUCAAAAUCUAGGCUAAAAGUGAUGCACGUACCCAUCACCCAUUUGUCGACCCAUAGUAGGGGCCCAUGGCCCCUAAAGGCAUGUGUCUCAGUGUAGCCCAUAUAGCAGACAAGUCACACGGGCGUUCUUAGAGCUAAAUCCCCAUUGA